rnacentral:lncRNA from 1 species
UUUUUUUUUUUUUUAAGAUUUUUUUUCUCCAAAAAUUUCCUUUUUAACACACAUUCAAAAUGCUACUCAAAACUCAAUUUUUAAUAUUACCAAACCCAAGCUCCUAUCUGAAAUGUGCUGCUCCUGACAUGUCACUCCUGACAUUUAGUGAGAUACCCUGUCAUUAAGUCAGCAGACUUGAAAGAUGUGGGGGCUUUCAGUGUAUAAAGAAAUAAUGCUGUGAAUCAUAACACUACAGUUUCAUCUCCAAUUCUCAAAAGCAUUUUGCUGAAAAUCACAUUAAUCCUUAUAAUUUCCAUGAUAAUAGGCCUACAACAGUGUUUUGUGUGUAGAGGGUAGGGUGAGUGGGGCAAGGGCUCCUUGAGACGGUGGGAAAAGGAGUAACUGCAGAGUUCUGAACCAGGAGGGGCUUGUGGGGCAUUCCGACACUUGGGCAACCCCCAAGACACUUGGAAGGGGGGUGCCUCGCCUCCCUUCAGCUGGGACACCCCUCCUGGGGCUCCCCCUUCUAUGUGUAUGUUGUCACAGUAGGAGGAGAAAUUUGGAAAGCGAUGUACAGCACAGCCAGUGACUGAAAGUCCUAAGAAUGUGGCAGAGAAUCAAGAAAUUAAAAAGCUGGAGAGAAAUUAAGACAACACUAUUAAUUAUACUGGAAUAUUAUUUUAAAAGCUGGAGAAACUUUGGAUGUGAUGAUAAAGUAAGUAGACUGAUUUUGCAAAGAUAUAGAUGCAGACUAAUACAUAGAAAUGAAGGAGGCUAUAGUUAUCCCAGUAUGAUUAUUGGACGUCUCGAACGCAAUUUGAUCACAAUUUUUAAAGUCUCUCAUUGAAUUUUAGUCACAUGCCUAAUUCUUGAUCAAAAUGUCUACCAGCAAAUUUGAUUACCCUCCCCAUUCAUCUGCAUAAUCUCCUGGGCAACUUUUCGUAGUCAAAACCAAAAAUUAAUCUUCCCUCCAAGGAUGAUCAUAGGUGGCAGCACGAUUGUUCAGGGUAUCUCAGAGGUUCCUCAGUUUUAACCAGAGGUCCAAAGACUUUCUCUAAAUACAGGUACUAUGUAUUUUGAAUUCCAACUUUGGAGAGACAAUUUUCCACGGAGAGCUCAUGUUUCUGCAUACCUUGUGAGCCGAGGCACAGACCUUUUGUUCCAGGCUUUUAAUGUUGAUGGAGGAAACUCGCUUCGAAGACAGAGUAUCUCCCUCUUGGACAGCUUUACUUGUAUACCCUUUAAAGACUAGAUCCAGAGCUAGAAAUUCCUCAGCUGUGAUGCAAGCCUAUUCCAUGUACAGCAUCUGGGCUGUUCUGCGUAGCUCCCACAGAGCUUGGGAGACAAGAAGAGCAGAUGGGGAACAUGAAGCUCACGCAGUCUGUGGUGCCUCUGACCCGGGACUCCCCUGUCUUUGGCUAACACCCAUGACACGGUGGCAGGUUAACUUGUCAGCCUGCACACAGCCUCAGUCUCGGACCCUCCCUAGUUCUUGAUACCAAUCACUCCGCAAAUUUAAAUUUUACAGAAUAAAAUGAUUUUUUUUGUCCUAACUUCCUACCUCAAGCAAACGAUCUAAUACAAUUCCAGCACAACGAAUAAAUAUGGACUGUCUUCUGGAGUUUGUUGCAAAGGGAUCUAGUAUUUCCAGCCAGAAAACUGAGAAGUAAAUAUAAUGUAUUAAAGGAUACGUGUAAGAAAGACAAAGGUUAGAUAGGGCUAAAAAAAAAAAAAGGAGUAAAGGGGAAGAAAGUAAUUCUAGAGGGUGGAAAUAGAAAUAAAUUACAAAGCGUGUCUUUUUGUUUCAUCCCACAGGCUAAAUCAUUCGUUACUAAUGAAAAUUAUAGCCCUAUCGCCCUCUACCGGAACCAGGCUGGAAACUGCAGGGAAAUAGUUUUGAAGUUGAUCUUUAUGAAAACUGCUCACAUCUCUGUUAUUUAUUGUUACCGUUUUCCAGAUUAUUAUUUUUUUCGUUUUCCAGAUUUUUAAAGCAUAAACCUCAGAUGUUCAGAAAGAUAAAACAACACAGCUUCCUUUGCAUAUGCAGCCUGACAGGUUAAUGCUGAACAACCUAGUGCCGAAAAGAGUAGACAAUCCUCCCCACACUCACCUUUAAUUUGUGGCAGCCAGAUCACAGGGACCACUAACAGCAUAGCCUUUGCUGGACAUCCCAGCAGGUAGUCCCCAGCGCCUCUGCCUCUACCUACCCCACUUCCACUUCGUGGACGAGAUCCGCUCAGAACUCGUCCCUCAUCUAUUAACCCCAUCAUGAAACAGACUCAGUUCCAUCUUAAUAAGUAUCACUGCUCCUGGGGCCUACAGUAGGGCUCUUCCAACAGAGUAACAUCACACUGUGAAUUCAAAUGGUGAGUGCCAAAGGUCCAAACCUUCAUUUUAAAGGUCACCCUAUCUAUACCUAAAAGCAACAUAUCCAAAUGUUUCGAUCAUGCACUGAAAUCAGAAAAAGUUAUAAUGCACCAAUAAAUGUAUUUAUUUAUGAAUUAUAGAAGUGUACAAUUGUACAAUAUAUUAUGUACAUUAUAAAACACACAAAAAUAGAAAUUUAAAAGGAUGAGAGUAAAUACAAAUAACCAUUUUAACAUUUUCCCAACGGACUGAUUAUCUGGAUACCCCAGGGAUUUAACACACCCCUACCUGAAACCACAGUCCUAAAGCAUGCCAAUGAUUGCUGUAUUUGGAUUUUUAGCUCAGGUUACAGAAAAAUGUAUGAUAUCACAGCUUUUUAAAGUUUUGCAAAAUAGCCCUAGUAUCUAGUUUUACUGUGUGAAGAUGUUAAGAUGCUAACUUAUGACAUAUUUGGCCUAAUCACAGCUAGUGUGAAAUGUUACUUUAUGGCUCACUAAUAGCGGUUUCAUUUUAAGGCAAACUAAGUAGGGAAUUUCACAGAGUUAAGAAUCUGGAGAGGAAAAAGUGCUUUAUAGAAAUACUUAAACGAAAGGAUGAGGAUUUGCCUAUGAAAAAAAUAAAGAGCCAAUAGCUAGCAUCUGAAAAAAAAUAAUUCCUCUGCCUACAGUAGAAAACUUAAAAAAAAAAAAAAACCAUUGCAAACAAUGGCCAUUAGCUAACACAAAUGGAUUAGAAUGGAUUGCUGCACAUCCGCCUGUCCUAAUACCGGUGAGUCCUUAAGAACAGGAAUUCUUUUAUUUCUAUAGCCCCAGUAUCCAAUCAUAAGCCCAGGCACACAGAAACUCAGUGAAUAUAUGAUGAAUGAUGAACAACUGCUCAAAAAGUAUGUAGAGUACUGAAUUACAUUUGAAAUAAUUGUUGCUAAAAAACACUCCAGCAUCUGGUUUUGAUUUGUUGAAGCAAGUAACUAGAUGAACGUCAUGGUCAAUGACACACUCAGAGAGCUUCAUUACUUUCUUCAACAUCCUCCCACUCCCUUUCCCAUCAUUCCUUUGGCAUCCCCCAAUUCCUACUGCUUGCACCCAAGGUCUGAGCUUCCCACCAUGGAGUGGAGUGCAGUGGAGUCGUACAGCCGGACAGUCUUGUCCUUCUCCACCCCUUACCUUAGUGCAAGCGAGGAGAAAUAAGAGUACUGUUCUAUACAGAGAAUCUUUUUCAAAGUGCUCCUUAAUUAAAAAAAAAUAUUCAUGAAAGCUUAAACAUUUUUAGAAAGGACAUGAAAAUCUGACUUUUGAAAUCAAGAUACACACAUGACAAAACACUGUGGGGCCUCCAUCAAGUUUUAUAACACUAAAAUUUACAACUGCGAGACUUUCAGUUGUGGUCUCCUCAUGACUUCUUUUAAUAGGUACCUCAUCAAUUUAAAGAGAUUAAAAUAUUACACAAUUUAAGUAACUUAAUUUCAUAAAUAACCAGUCUCAUUUUGUGUACACAUGCUGAAUGUUUUCAUCUAUACGUUCAUUUAUUCUGCUGACAAAAUGUCAAGUUUCUUGAUGAAAACAGAACUGAAAUUACACUGUUUCCAUUACAUUAAAUGCAAACCAGGGUUAGUUAUCAAAUCUUGAUCAAGAGAAGGGAUAUGGAGUUCAGAGAUUUGCUGGAGAUGGGAACCAUAUGAAAGCUUAGUUCUUUCACUAUCGCAAUAUGGAAGGAGUUUUUUUUUACCUAAAGUACUUAUUAAAGGAUAAUGUACUUAACGUGGUUGGGAAGUACAUAUGUAUCACACAAAGGACAAAGGAAAACAGACUGGUGGGAUUUUCUAAGGUCAAAAUGAUGUUUUUUAAGCACUGUGGUGAGUUACUGAGUUGCAAAAUCAUCCUCUCUGGAGGUUUAAAACACAGAAAGCCAGUUGUUUGGAUGAAUCAAGUCUCAGACAAAAUAGCUACUAGAAUAGAAAUACUUUUCUUGAAAAUUAUCUUUUAAGAAAACCAGGACAUGUGCACAUUAAACCUUGUUUGGUUUGCUCACAUGUUUUCUCAAAUCCCUCCUUUUGCUUGUUGCUACAGGCUGGGCUCACUCCCUUUUAUCGCACUUCGGUGACCAGCAGCUGUCUCACCGGACACUGGAGCUUCCAGAAAAACCUGACUCAAAAUUGAACCCACCCACCGUCUACUUGUAAAAUGAAAACAAAUCCUCAGUGGCACUACUGCCUGCCAAGGAAAGGUCUCAUUAACAUCUUUAAAAAGAAAAACAGGUGAUGGAAUUUCCAAUGAAAUUGCUUUGAGUAUACUGUUGAAAUUAGAUCCUAAAUUUAGAACCAGAAAAACCAUUCGUGUUUUUGGUAAUUUUCAAAUUUUAUUUCCAACUACCACAGUAACAAAAUACCAGUGAUAAUUCUGCAUGGAAAGUGGCAACCUUUUAAAUCAAUAAGGUCACAAAUUAGUAUUCCAACAGUCCUUUGGCCUAUGGAGAUUUUGAUAGGAGAGGAUUAUUACAAUCAGUCCUAUUAUAUUAUAGACAUAUGCUUCCUCAGUAUAUAGUAAUAAAAAUAUUCAUCUUACCUCAAUGAUUCAUCAUGUAUACAUUCCUACUCUUUAUAAGCACUAUCUUUCUGGGUUGCAAUGUGUGAGGGGGAAAUUCCUCCCACGCAUGGGUUUUUCUAUACCAUACAGAAACAGCAGUCACUUCAGCAGUAAUGUACAUUAUUAAUUUUUUAGUUGAAAAAUAAGAGUGAAUUAUCCUAUUAUAUCCUUUCUCUGGAAGUAAAAAGACACACACCAUUACAAACGUAAAAUGAGUCAAACUUCUAUUUUAUUGACAGGAGUCCAAAAUGAAUACAAAAGAAUGCCUCCUUUGCAUGUUAUGUAUUUUUUUCCUUAAAAGGCUUCUGAGUCAGGUAGAUUUUAAAAGCUAAGAAUGUACUUCAGCUUUUAUAGUGAACCUUUUAAAAAAGGUUUAAUAACAUGAGUCACCAACAUCAGAGAACACAUGGUCCCACAAUCAUUUUUAGACCUAUAGCUUAUAAAAAGAAUUAGAUCCUGCACUGAUCUGCUAAAUAGAGGCUUAAAAAUGUUUUAAGCCAUUAAAAGCCAUUUUUAUAAUCCGUCUGAUGACUCUGGGCAAUUAAGAAAAGGAACAUCCUCAAAUGUAGCCCUCUAUAUUAUGUGGAAUGUGAUAGAAUGUCAACUUAUGAUCAAGACAGGUAAAAAUAAAAAUUUCAAAGCUAAAAAAAAAAAAAAAAA